rnacentral:rRNA from 1 species
UACGUAGGGUGCGAGCGUUGCCCGGAUUUAUUGGGCGUAAAGGGCGCGUAGGCGGUGAGAUGCGUCCGUUGUGAAAUCGCCCGGCUCAACUGGGCGGGGUCAGCGGAUACGGUCUCACUUGAGCAAGCUAGGGGGCAAUGGAAUUCCCGGUGUAGUGGUGGAAUGCGUAGAUAUCGGGAGGAACACCAGUGGCGAAGGCGGUUGCCUGGGGCUUUGCUGACGCUGAUGCGCGAAAGCGUGGGGAGCGAGUCCGG